rnacentral:lncRNA from 1 species
AAGAAAGAUACAUAAAUAUAGAGCAAAAAACUAUGAUUUUGAAAGCCCAACAUAAUACAAAUCAUUAAUAUCAGGAAUGAAGACAUGAGCUGAUAUACAUAAAAGACAUGCCUGUUACAUGUCACAUAGCAGAUACAUAAAUGGUGCAUAGAGAAUGCACAAGUUUUACACAGAAGAUGUGCACAAGAAGUUAGGUUCUACCCUCCAUUCCUAAUUCAUCUCACAGAAUCAUGACAACAAUAGAGUCAUCUCUAGUGGUAAAAAGGACAUGAACCCCCUUAAAAAAGUUGAAAAUUUUAAAAAUCUUCCAACUCCAACUCCUCCAGGAGCCGCGGCUGCUGAUAUCAUUAACUUGCCCGCUUGACUCUAAGUGAAUUACUCUGGCAUGAAAGCUGAUUUUGUUGCCUGAGUGGAAAUGAGAAAAUGCAAAAUCAUCAAUGACAACUCUUAAUAACAAAAUGCUAAAAUGCAAUGUCUCCUAACACCCUCACUAAAUUACCUCUUCAAAGUCAUUACAAGUAUUCUUCUCUUCCAAGUGCUGGGUUCCCUUUUGUGUCUCCAAAUAGAUUAUGGGGGAAAAAAAUCUGCCAGCAUUGCUGUCACUGUUAAUUAGUGUCUCCUGAGCAGGGCUUCCUGCCUGAGGUGCUCACCAGACCUUGCCAAGCCCUACAGGGACUUCCAGAAAAACCUUGUUUAUG